AACAAGGCGUACCUGCGGACCUGCGGAAGGAUCAUUACACAAUACAAUAUGAAGGCUGUCCGCAGCUGGAGUAUUUUAUUACCCUUGUCUUUUGCGCACUUGUUGUUUCCUGGGCGGGUUCGCUCGCCACCAGGACCACCAAAUAAACCUUUUUUAUGCAGUUGCAAUCAGCGUCAGUACAAACAAUGUAAAUCAUUUACAACUUUCAACAAUGGAUCU
rnacentral:misc_RNA from 1 species